rnacentral:rRNA from 1 species
GAUGAACGCUAGCGGCAGGCUUAACACAUGCAAGUCGAGGGGUAUAGGGAGCUUGCUUCCUAGAGACCGGCGCACGGGUGCGUAACGCGUAUGCAAUCUACCUUUUACAGGGGAAUAGCCCAGAGAAAUUUGGAUUAAUGCCCCAUAGCAUUAUAGAAUGGCAUCAUUUUAUAAUUAAAGUCACAACGGUAAAAGAUGAGCAUGCGUCCCAUUAGCUAGUUGGUAAGGUAACGGCUUACCAAGGCUAUGAUGGGUAGGGGUCCUGAGAGGGAGAUCCCCCACACUGGUACUGAGACACGGACCAUACUCCUACGGGAGGCAGCAGUGAGGAAUAUUGGACAAUGGGCGCAAGCCUGAUCCAGCCAUGCCGCGUGCAGGAUGAAGCAUCUAUGGUGUGUAAACUGCUUUUAUACGGGAAGAAACCCUGGGACGUGUCCCAGACUGACGGUACCGUAAGAAUAAGGACCGGCUAACUCCGUGCCAGCAGCCGCGGUAAUACGGAGGGUCCAAGCGUUAUCCGGAAUCAUUGGGUUUAAAGGGUCCGUAGGCGGCCCUGUAAGUCAGUGGUGAAAUCUCCCGGCUCAACCGGGAAAUUGCCAUUGAUACUGCAGGGCUUGAAUUAUUGGGAAGUAACUAGAAUAUGUAGUGUAGCGGUGAAAUGCUUAGAUAUUACAUGGAAUACCAAUUGCGAAGGAAGGUUACUAUCAAUAUAUUGACGCUGAUGGACGAAAGCGUGGGUAGCGAACAGGAUUAGAUACCCUGGUAGUCCACGCCGUAAACGAUGGAUACUAGCUGUUCGGAGCAAUCUGAGUGGCUAAGCGAAAGUGAUAAGUAUCCCACCUGGGGAGUACGUUCGCAAGAAUGAAACUCAAAGGAAUUGACGGGGGCCCGCACAAGCGGUGGAGCAUGUGAGUUAAUUCGAUGAUACGCGAGGAACCUUACCAAGGCUUAAAUGUAGAUUGACCGGUUUGGAAACAGAUCUUUCGCAAGACAAUUUACAAGGUGCUGCAUGGUUGUCGUCAGCUCGUGCCGUGAGGUGUCAGGUUAAGUCCUAUAACGAGCGCAACCCCUGUCGUUAGUUGCCAGCGAGUCAUGUCGGGAACUCUAACGAGACUGCCAGUGCAAACUGAGAGGAAGGUGGGGAUGACGUCAAAUCAUCACGGCCCUUACGCCUUGGGCUACACACGUGCUACAAUGGACGGUACAGAGAGCAGCCACUGGGCGACCAGGAGCGAAUCUACAAAACCGUUCACAGUUCGGAUCGGAGUCUGCAACUCGACUCCGUGAAGCUGGAAUCGCCAGUAAUCGGAUAUCAGCCAUGAUCCGGUGAAUACGUUCCCGGGCCU